rnacentral:rRNA from 1 species
AGCGAACGCUGGCGGCAGGCUUAACACAUGCAAGUCGAGCGGGCUCUUCGGUGUCAGCGGCAGACGGGUGAGUAACACGUGGGAACGUACCCUUUGGUUCGGAAUAACGCUGGGAAACUAGCGCUAAUACCGGAUACGCCCUUUUGGGGAAAGGCUUGCUGCCGAAGGAUCGGCCCGCGUCUGAUUAGCUAGUUGGUGGGGUAAUGGCCUACCAAGGCGACGAUCAGUAGCUGGUCUGAGAGGAUGAUCAGCCACACUGGGACUGAGACACGGCCCAGACUCCUACGGGAGGCAGCAGUGGGGAAUAUUGGACAAUGGGCGCAAGCCUGAUCCAGCCAUGCCGCGUGAGUGAUGAAGGCCUUAGGGUUGUAAAGCUCUUUUGUCCGGGACGAUAAUGACGGUACCGGAAGAAUAAGCCCCGGCUAACUUCGUG